GCAACUGGCAUGGAGUGGCCAGGGGCGGGGGACAGGGAGAAUGCUUGCGAGCCUGGCUGCAGAUGGGUCUCUGUGCCACGGAGAGCCUCUGGGCAGUGGGUAAGGAGCGGCCAAGCCCUGCAGAGAGCUACUGGCACACGGAUUCAUGCUCAGGGCUACUAGUUAAAUAAGGUCCAGAAUACUGCAGGCCUUCCGUGGAGGUGGCUUUGGAGAGCUUCUGACAUCUCUGUCUGACAGGGAGCCACAUCUGCUCUGCCUUUGUCCACUCACCAGGGACACACACAGGACAUGCUGGGACAUCAUGUUCUGCAUUAUUUAGCAACGUGUGAGGAGGACACCCCCAGAGAAUAAAGUAAUUUUAAACUGGAAAAAAUGAUUAAGAAUCACGGGCAUGAAAGAAACAGCAGCAAGCAGAUGUUGUAAAACACCAGUGAGGAGAAAAGGAAGGCGACAGCUGAGAGUGAAUUGAUUUUCCUCCUAUGUCUUGCAUCCUUACUCAAUCACGCCAGAUGGAGGAGCAAUCACUAAGACAUAAGGCCCUGUUGGUCCCCCUACUUUUCCCACAAGAGAACUGGCUGAAAAUACCUUCCAAAAGCAGCAGAAUGAUAAAAGCAAAUGCACUGUUUCAUUUAUUAAUCAAGAGUCAAUUUAUCUUACUCAUUUGAGACAGCAAGCCGUGGUGGAAAAAGAAAAAUCUUCGGAUACUGUACCUGACGGAGAGCCAUAAAUGUUAAAAUGUAUAUCUAAGUAUCUAAGAUGCUCCAAGCAAAAAACAAACAA